UUUAUUAAGAGGUAGGGCCUGCUCACUGAUGUAUUUAAGAGCCGCGGUAUAUUGACUGUGCUAAGGUAGCAUAAUAAUUUGUCUUUUAAUUGAAGACUAGAAUGAAUGGUUUAACGAGAAAUUAACUUUUUUGAAAGUAACAUUUUGAAUUUAAUUUUUUAGUGAAAAAGCUAAAAUAGAAUAAAAAGACGAGAAGACCCUAUAGAGUUUUAUAUUUGAAUUAUUUGUUUUUAAAUAAUUUUGGUAAUCGCAAAUAAGUAAAUUAUUUUGUUGGGGCGACAUUUAGAUAAGAAAAACUUUUUAUUUUUAAAAUUUCAAUUGAAAAAUUUUUGAUCCUUAAAAAAGAUUAAAAGAAUAAGUUACCUUAGGGAUAACAGCGUAAUCUUUCUUGAGAGUUCUAAUCGACAGAAAGGUUUGCGACCUCGAUGUUGGACUAAAAUUAAAUUAAGGAGCAGUAUCCUUAGAUUUAGGUCUGUUCGACCUAUAGACUUUU
rnacentral:rRNA from 9 species